rnacentral:rRNA from 1 species
GCUGGCGGCGUGGAUAAGACAUGCAAGUCGAGCGAGAUUUUUUCCUGUAGCAAUACAGGGAAAAGUCUAGCGGCGAACGGGUGCUUAACACGUGGGCAACCUGCCAAGAAGUGGGGGAUAGCUCGCCGAAAGGCGAAUUAAUACCGCAUGUGAUCAGAGUGGACAUCCAUUCGAAAUCAAAGUCGGGGCAACCUGACGCUUUUAGAGGGGCCCGCGGCCUAUCAGCUAGUUGGUGAGGUAACGGCCCACCAAGGCUUAGACGGGUAGCUGGUCUGAGAGGACGACCAGCCACACUGGGACUGAGACACGGCCCAGACACCUACGGGUGGCAGCAGUCGAGAAUUUUUCUCAAUGGGGGAAACCCUGAAGGAGCGACGCCGCGUGGAGGAUGAAGGUCUUCGGAUUGUAAACUCCUGUCAUUGGGGAACAAUGCGUAAAUAUUAACUGUAUUUGCGUUGAUAG